rnacentral:rRNA from 1 species
GAGUUUGAUCCUGGCUCAGAGCGAACGUUAGCGGCGGGCCUAACACAUGCAAGUCGAACGAGAAAACCUUCGGGUGAGUAAAGUGGCGCACGGGUGAGGAACGCGUAGGUAAUCUACCCUCUGGCGGGGGACAACACUCCGAAAGGAAUGCUAAUACCGCAUAAGACCACGCUUACUACGGUGAGAGUGAUAAAAGGCGCCUCAAAGCGCCACCAGAGGAUGAGCCUGCGUCCCAUCAGCUUGUUGGUGAGGUAACGGCUUACCAAGGCGAAGACGGGUAGCUGGUCUGAGAGGAUGAUCAGCCACACUGGCACUGGAACACGGGCCAGACUCCUACGGGAGGCAGCAGUGAGGAAUAUUGGGCAAUGGGCGAAAGCCUGACCCAGCCACGCCGCGUGUGUGAUGAAGGCCUUCGGGUCGUAAAGCACUGUGGGGAGGGACGAAAACGCGCAUCAGGAAAUGGGUGCGUCUUGACGGUACCUCCUUAGCAAGCACCGGCUAACUCUGUGCCAGCAGCCGCGGUAAUACAGAGGGUGCAAACGUUGCUCGGAUUUACUGGGCGUAAAGCGCGUGUAGGCGGACUCGCAAGUCGGUUGUGAAAUCCCUGGGCUCAACCUAGAA